GCGGAUAUGGCGGAAUUGGCAGACGCGUUGGUUUUAGGCACCAAUGAAGAAAUUCGUGGGGGUUCAAGUCCCUCUAUCCGUA
rnacentral:tRNA from 2 species